UUCCUGGUCCUCUCAAUAUUGCUGAUAUCAUAACCAGAGGGGCCAGUCCUCAAGACCUGGAUGAAAGUUCAGAAUGGCAGAACGGACCAACAUUCUUGAAGCUACCAGUGGAUGAGUGGCCAGUUAAAUCUGCCAAAGAGUUGGUGAUGGCUGCCAGAGACGGUGUCAACAGAUUACAGAAGAAAGCGUUUGUUGCUGCACUGACCCGAGCACAAGCCAAGGCACAACUGCUGCCGGAUCCAAAGGAUACUGACACGCAGAAGCCUUCUGAACUAAAGCAAGACCAGGAACCAACUCAGACCCAAACACAACCAAAGAGGCCACCAGCAGGAUCAACUGUCCAAGAACUGGUGGAUGUCAAGCGGUUCAGUAACCUAAGCCGACUUGUCAAAACAGUUGCCUGGAUCCGGAGAGCAGCAAGGAUGUUCAUGAAAGGGAACAAGCGAACUGCAAACAAUCCAAAGUGGGAGGCAGUGUCGUUUUCAAAAGUCAUCUCAGUGACAGAGAGGGAAGACGCCCUAAAAGACAUCUUCCUUGCGGCACAGCAAAGUGCAUCCUUCCCAAGCACAACCACAGACAGGCUGGUGGUGUACAGAGACCAAGAGACUGGAUUGUUGGUCUGUGGGGGUCGUGUGCAGAUCUUCAAUGAAGAUAAAGUUGCUGUCCCCAUCUUGCCUUACGAAGCCUGGGUGUCGACACUGUUAGCACGAGAAGCCCACGAGGAGAACCACGAUGGAGUGGCCGGGACCUUGCUCAAGAUGAGAAGAAGAGCAUGGGUCGUGAAAGGUCGGAGAAUUGCUCAAAAAGUGGUCGAAAACUGCAUGUUCUGCAGGAAAACUAAAGCAAAAAGAUGCCAGCAAAUAAUGGGUGAUCUACCUCCAGAGAGGACAGAACCAGCUGCCCCAUUCCACUACACAACAGUCGACCUCUUCGGACCCUACCAAGUCAGGGAUGAUGUAAAGAAAAGAGUGUCACUGAAGGUUUGGGGAAUUGUGUUUUGUUGCAUGGCCUCCAGAGCUAUUCACACCGAGCUGGUGAACUCUCAGUCCACAGAGAGUUUUCUGUUUGCCUACCAGAGGUUCACAGCACUAAGAGGUCAUCCAAAGAAAAUCUGGUCAGAUCCUGGGACCAACUUCAUUGGGGCUAAGCCAGUCCUAGAAGAACAGUACCGAUUCUUUGCCAAUCUUGACAAAGCUACCCUGGAGGAGAGAGCUGCCAAGGAUGGCACAGAAUGGUCGUGGAAGAUUCAACCAGCCGAUUCUCCACACCGGAAUGGUGCCGCAGAAGCUGCUGUGCGCAUUGUCAAGAGAGCACUGCAGAGUCUUGGAGGAGAGUCCGGCCUAAGUUGGAGUGAAUUCCAAACAACUCUCUACACGGCUGCCAAUCUUGCAAAUGAAAGACCAAUUGACGCCAGGACACAGAGCCGAGAAGACAGCGUCCAGUUCAUCACUCCUAACUGUCUCCUGCUCGGACGAGCAUCACAGGGUGGAGAUGUCAGAACAUUCGACUUCAGUGACUAUCCCUACAAAAGGCUUAAAGAAAUGCAAGCGCAAGUUAACAAGUUCUGGAGGAACUGGAGUCAACUUGCUGGUCCUAACUUAUUCGUAAGGAACAAAUGGCAUACCGCCAAGAGAAAUGUCGCAGUCGGGGACAUCGUCUGGAUGGCGGACCAAAACGCCCUUAGGGGUCAGUUCAGGAUUGCAAGAGUGGUUAGCGUCAACUCGGACAGCAAAGGAGUUGUGAGGGACGUCAAUGUCAGAACCUUCCCAAGCUACCCCGUUCCUGUCACAAGGCCUACCGGAGCAAAAGUAAGUCACCGAACAUCUAAGAAAUUCAAAGAAAAGAUCCCAGCAGCAGUUCUUCACAGAGACGUAAGGCGACUAGUGAUCUUGCUUCCCACCGAAGAACAGAACUAAACAUCUGACCCAAGUUGCUCCUGUAACAUGCGACCUCCCAGGUGUCUCCACUGGAAGGUCGAGUGGGAGGUGUGAAGUCAACUUGGAAAAUCCCUGCUGGAUAUGAAGGGGUUAAUAUGCAACGCCGACUGACAGCUGGGGGAAUCCCUCCUCAGAGCGUUACCUGGGAAAUCCACGUCAUUGCGUCACCUUACCGGAAAGGACAGAAAGGGGAAGAGAGACUCUUUCAGGAAACGCCAGUUGCAAACAAAUCAGACAGCGUUCGGUCCAGCAGCAGCAAAGCUGCGCUAGAGAACUUGGAAAAAGCAGCGCUGGUACAGCCAUAAAAAGCCUGGAGAAACGGCCGGUUUUUUACCUUGCAGUAUACCUAGCAGUUUACCACUUGCAACCCACUUACAACUGUACCCACAAUACCUACCUGCUACAACUUACCUGUACCUGUGAAAAUACAAAAAGAAAAGUAAAGAGGAGUUAAAGAAGGAAAACCGUGUGGUCAUUGCAUGAGUGGAACCCAGUUAAACCUCCUAUGGGUUGUUGCGCAACAAUUGAUGCCUGGCACCUGGACCGAGGAGACUGGCUUGGACAUUGAGGGUGUUCCACAACAACUAUAUGGCAUCGACUGUGGAGUCUUUAUGGUCAUGUACUCCUGGUACAUUACCAUGGACGCACACUUCGAUUUCAACGUUUUGGAUAUGCCUCAUCUCAGGAGGUGGUGGUGCAAGCUCCUUUUGGACAACUACGGGAUUGAAGGAUGUGGCAAAAGAUUCUGUCAUUUCACCCAAGAAGGACACCAGAUGGUGAAUGGACUCCUGGCACCGGUGUUCCGGGUAACACGGAAGCGGAAGGUUUUGACCAAGGCAGAUGAUGUUUUCCUGAAGGACACAAUUGAGGCAGCAGCAUGGUGCCAGUUGCAGACCUUCACCGACCACGUUUCUCUCCCGAUGGUCAUUGGGGUGGAAGGUGCAGAGCAGCAGGCAUUGUUAGCAGAGCUGAAAUCCGUUGACCGCAGUUGCCCGGAAGAAAGCCUAAACAGGAUUGAACCGUUCCAGUUCUUCUUCAAUUCAAAGAAGGACUACGAAAUGUUCUGUGUGGAGAUGUUUGACCGGAGAAAGCUGAAAGUGUUUGCUUAUUGGGAGUAGCGACAUUUUACCCAUUGUUUUAAUUGAACUGGGGGACCGGGGGCCGAUUCUUUAUGUUAUCAUUUAUAUAACCAGUUCUAAAACCAUUUUCAUUUGUCUUUAUAAAUAAAAUGAUGUC